rnacentral:rRNA from 1 species
UGCAAGACUUGAAUUACUAGGAAGUAACUAGAAUAUGUAGUGUAGCGGUGAAAUGCUUAGAGAUUACAUGGAAUACCAAUUGCGAAGGCAGGUUACUACUAGUGGAUUGACGCUGAUGGACGAAGGCGUGGGUAGCGAACAGGAUUAGAUACCCUGGUAGUCCACGCCGUAAACGAUGGAUACUAGCUGUUGGGAGCAACUUCAGUGGCUAAGCGAAAGUGAUAAGUAUCCCACCUGGGGAGUACGGGCGCAAGCCUGAAACUCAAAGGAAUUGACGGGGGCCCGCACAAGCGGUGGAGCAUGUGGUUUAAUACGAUGAUACGCGAGGAACCUUACCAAGGCUUAAAUGUAGAUUGACCGAUUUGGAAACAGAUCUUUCGCAAGACAAUUUACAAGGUGCUGCAUGGUUGUCGUCAGCUCGUGCCGUGAGGUGUCAGGUUAAGUCCUAUAACGAGCGCAACCCCUGUUGUUAGUUGCCAGCGAGUCAUGUCGGGAACUCUAACGAGACUGCCAGUGCAAACUGUGAGGAAGGUGGGGAUGACGUCAAAUCAUCACGGCCCUUACGCCUUGGGCUACACACGUGCUACAAUGGCCGGUACAGAGAGCAGCCACUGGGCGACCAGGAGCGAAUCUAUAAAACCGGUCACAGUUCGGAUCGGAGUCUGCAACUCGACUCCGUGAAGCUGGAAUCGCUAGUAAUCGGAUAUCAGCCAUGAUCCGGUGUAUACGUUCCCGGGCCUUGUACACACCGCCCGUCAAGCCAUGGAAGCUGGGGGUGCCUGAAGUCGGUGACCGCAAGGAGCUGCCUAGGGUAAAACUGGUAACUAGGGCUAAGUCGUAACAAGGUAGCC